AAGCUUAUCGAAGACCAAAAAAAACAGUGAAAGUUGUACAAGGGUGAAAUUGUUACGUUGUGAGAUUGUCACACAAUGAGUGAAACGUAAGUCAAUAUCAACUAAAUGCAUAAACAAAUAAAUAAGACCAAGUUGUUAUUAUAUUUCGCGCACUUUAUCGUCAACCGAUGUUCGUGAACGUACCUUAUAUCAAACGCAGAGCGUAUCAGCUGAGUCGAACGGCGUCUUAUCAGUAACGUGAUAUGAAAAUAAGCGAUAACGCAACCAACCAACAAAAUAGCGCUCCCAAAAUAACAACCGGUGCACAAGUUAUACCACAGUGAGGUGAAGCCCCAACUGCAGGACUACAAUAAUUAGAUAGGAUGGUAUUCCGGGUACUUAUCGUUCCGGUGUCCUCCACGUCACCUUCAGCUAGAUGGAAGGGUUCUCCUCAAAAAGGAUUCGGGAAUCCGAAUUUAAGUCAUAAUCGAGCAAUCACAGCAAGACCCCGAAAAUCGUGGCUCCAGGAGCUGCUGAAUUUUCCUUUAGCGUCCCGGCAAUGAAGCACCAACCGAAGGGAACUUGGUGGAAAACUCCGGAAAAUUCGCCAGGAAAUUGACAAUGGGGCACAAAUUGGUUCAUCGACGAGAAAAGUUGAAACUGUGAGAAUAUUUGAUCAUUUUACCUCUGGAUGGGCGAGGCUGCUUUAGAUAUUGAGGGUGUGGUGGCGUCCAAAAAAAAUCCAACAAACGUUGCGUGCUUUGCAAGCACCUUUUCCUCCGGUUUUUUCCAAAAUCCUACACAAUAAGUCGUUUGAGUCUCUCAAAGCUGAAAAUUCCGGGAACAGAAUUCGCACAACCACACAAGAAGGUUAGCAAAAAUCUAACGGAUGAAGAUAUUUUCUUUUUUGCCUAAAAAAAGUGAUCCGUCAUCAGCAGAAGCCUUCCCGCCUUUUUAGGAACCAAUUAGAAUUGAGUUUAUUUUCGACAAGAUGGUGUCAAUUCCGGUGGCGCUGUUGUUCAGUUCGAGUCAAAAAUCCCUAUUUCAGAUGACAAGGCGACAGGGUUGCCAAAAGAUGAUGACGUGUUUUGUUUACAGUAACCUCAAAUGGUGAACAACAUAAAAGGUUUGCGAGGGACGCUAUUCUGGCAUAAAUGUAAUAAGUGUAAACUAUGAUGGAAUGUUUAAUAAAACGGUAUCCUAUUUUUAUGCCGUUACAAAAAGUA